GACGAACCACACAAACGUUAUUCGGAAUUACUGGGCUUAAAGGGUGCGUAGGCGGCGCGGAAAGUUGGGUGUGAAAUCCCUCGGCUCAACCGAGGAACUGCGCCCAAAACUACCGUGCUCGAGGAAGAUAGAGGUGAGCGGAACUUACGGUGGAGCGGUGAAAUGCGUUGAUAUCGUAAGGAACACCUGUGGCGAAAGCGGCUCACUGGGUCUUUUCUGACGCUGAUGCACGAAAGCUAGGGGAGCAAACGGG
rnacentral:rRNA from 1 species